rnacentral:rRNA from 1 species
CAAUGGCUGGUCCAGCUCGUGUUGUGAAAUGUUGGGUUAAGUCCCGCAACGAGCGCAACCCUUAUCCUUUGUUGCCAGCGGUUCGGCCGGGAACUCAAAGGAGACUGCCAGUGAUAAACUGGAGGAAGGUGGGGAUGACGUCAAGUCAUCAUGGCCCUUACGAGUAGGGCUACACACGUGCUACAAUGGCAUAUACAAAGAGAAGCGACCUCGCGAGAGCAAGCGGACCUCAUAAAGUAUGUCGUAGUCCGGAUUGGAGUCUGCAACUCGACUCCAUGAAGUCGGAAUCGCUAGUAAUCGUAAUCAGAAUGCUACGGUGAAUACGUUCCCGGGCCUUGUACACACCGCCCGUCACACCAUGGGAGUGGGUUGCAAAAGAAGUAGGUAGCUUAACCUUCGGGAGGGCGCCUACCACGUU